rnacentral:rRNA from 1 species
CUCCUUUAGAGUUUGGAUCCUGGCUCAGAUUGAACGCUGGCGGCAGGCCUAACACAUGCAAGUCGAGCGGAAACGAGUUAUCUGAACCUUCGGGGAACGAUAACGGCGUCGAGCGGCGGACGGGUGAGUAAUGCCUAGGAAAUUGCCUUGAUGUGGGGGAUAACCAUUGGAAACGAUGGCUAAUACCGCAUAAUGCCUACGGGCCAAAGAGGGGGACCUUCGGGCCUCUCGCGUCAAGAUAUGCCUAGGUGGGAUUAGCUAGUUGGUGAGGUAAUGGCUCACCAAGGCGACGAUCCCUAGCUGGUCUGAGAGGAUGAUCAGCCACACUGGAACUGAGACACGGUCCAGACUCCUACGGGAGGCAGCAGUGGGGAAUAUUGCACAAUGGGCGCAAGCCUGAUGCAGCCAUGCCGCGUGUAUGAAGAAGGCCUUCGGGUUGUAAAGUACUUUCAGCAGUGAGGAAGGGGGUGUCGUUAAUAGCGGCAUCUCUGACUA